GCCGGGGACCCGGCUCUGUGGAGCUGGUGAAGCCCGGAAUCCCCAGGUCUGACGGUCGGAGGCUGUGGGCUGCUCAGUGACUGGACCCCUGGGCCUGGCGCCGUCCUUCACCCCUCCGGCCAGGGCACAGAUGUGCAACCGACCGUCCGCCCCUGAGCACGACAGUCCCCUCACUGGAUCCGCCCCGGAGCGCCCAGCGCGGAGGCCGAGCCUCGGGGACCCUGAGUUGGGCCCCCGGCCUCUAGAGCGGCGGUGCGUGAGGCGCUCGGGCCCGCGCUGCUCGCCGCGGCCGCGGCCGGGUGGUGCGGGAGCCCCCAGUCGCGAGGGGAGGCGCUGCCGAGGGGCCGGGUCUGCGGCGGCGUCCGGACCCGCGGAGCUGCAGCCCUGCCCCGGGACGAGCACGCCCGCAGACCCGAGAGCGCCACCCAGCACCUGCACCCCGGCGGGCGCGGGUUCUCCCGAGUCCCGCGGGGCGCGAGCUCGGCCGCCCUCAGCCUUUCCGAGCGCCUGCUUCAGGAAGCGCCGGCGGAGAGCGGUUCGUGCGCCGGCCGCGGAGCGGCCUGAGCGGCCAGCGUGGCUGCCCUGCCAGGGCUGGGACUCUGGGAGAGCCGUGGGGCCCCGAGGAGACUUCGCGGAGAAGAGCCGGUUCCCCAGCCCUGAGACAGCUGGCAGCGGAGAUUACAGAAGAUACCUUCUUGUUUUUCAUUAAAAUGGCACAGUGCUGUCCUUCAGAUAGUAGGACUGGCAAAAGGAAAAACAAGCACAUGGAGUGGGCUCCAUUUCACCAAGCAUCUCUGAAGGUCUUCUUCCUCAGGACGUCACCACAAAAGGAAGAAAGAAACAAGGAGGAAGUCACAAGAUUCAGGACACAAUAGAUGAAACCAGGAGAGUGCUGAACGGGAUCCUCAAGAAUGAGACUGAACAAUUGGCCUAGAGAACUAAACAUGACCCCAACAGGAAAAACAAGCAAAGCUGGCAGAAUUGAGCUGGACAGUGUUUAACAGAAUCAUUAGGAAAUGUGAAGACAGAGAAUGAGUGAAGGGGGUGUGGGUGCAAAUACAUAACUAAGGCAAUGAUUAAACUCUAGGAAAAAUAAAAACAAGAAAUACAGUCAUAACACACUGCUUGGUUUCAGGAUGAACAGUAUUUAUAAGGUUAUAAUAAGGAAAAUUUACUAAAGAUUUAACCUAAAUUGUCAUAUAACUGUGAUCAUUGGCAAAAUGAGGAGAGAACAGGAGAGGAACAAUAAGGAUUGACAUGCUGAUUUACUAUGAUGGAAAUUAAUAGAUAAUGUUAAAAUUAUGGAGAAGGAAAUAAAUAUUAGAAGAAAUACUGAUGCACCAGAAGACAGCAAAGCACAGAGUGGAUCCACUAGAGACCCACACAUGAGCUGAUCCGUAUAUUUUUCAGCGUCACUUUGAACUGUAGGAUUCACUGCGUUUAAUUUCUGGGAGAGUCAGGGAAUUGGGCAUUAGUUGCCUGGCUCCUUGCAAUGAACAUUGUAAAUAAACCCCUCCCCAGUCCUCUCCUCCACAUACCCACACACAAAGGAAGAAAUAGCUAAAAUGAUUAAAAGUACAUGCUUCUGAGGAAUGCAAUGAGAAAGGGUGAUGAGGAGC